UCAGACGAUGCGUCAUGCAUAUCAAUAAGCGGAGGAAAAGAAACUAACAAGGAUUCCCUCAGUAACGGCGAGUGAAGCGGGAAGAGCUCAAAUUUGAAAUCUUGAAAGGUCACCUUUCACGAAUUGUAGUUUAAAGAAGUGUUUUCUGUUACGAUCGUAAUAUAAGUUCUUUGGAAUAGGACAUCACAGAGGGUGAGAAUCCCGUCUAUGAUUGCGAUUUGUAGCUUUGUGAUACACUUUCAAAGAGUCGGGUUGUUUGGGAAUGCAGCCCAAAACGGGAGGUAAAUUUCUUCUAAGGCUAAAUAUUGGCGAGAGACCGAUAGCGAACAAGUACCGUGGGGGAAAGAUGAAAAGAACUUUGAAAAGAGAGUUAAAUAGUACGUGAAAUUGUCAAAAGGGAAGCGUUUAACACCAGUGUUGUUUUCUGAAAAUCAACCUCUGUUAGCUUUAUGCAUGUUUGUUUAGACCUAAUCAGCUAUCUUGCAUGUUCUAUUGUUUGCAGUGGUGCACUUUUCAGUUUACAGGUCAACAUCAGUUUUUUUUACCGUAAAAAAGUUAAAGAAAGGUAGCUCAUGGCUCCGGUCGUGAGUGUUAUAGUCUUUUUCCUAUGCGGUAGGAGAGACUGAGGUCUGCAGUGUAGGCUAUUUGGCUAGAUACUCAGGUGCUAUGUGAUACCAUUUCAUAAACAACUUGUUGAUUAUGUUUUGUCUAUUGCAUACUCGCUUGUACUAUCAUACCUACGCUUAGGAUGUUGAAGACUCUACAGAGAU
rnacentral:rRNA from 1 species